UCUCCAGCUGUUUUCGGACUACAGUUCCCAUCAUCCCUGGUCCUUCUAGCUAGGGGUGAUGGGAGUUGUAGUCGAAAAACAGCGGGAGA